UACAGAGGGUGCAAGCGUUAUUCGGAAUUACUGGGCGUAAAGCGCGCGUAGGCGGCUUUUUAAGUCGGUUGUGAAAUCCCCGGGCUUAACCUGGGAACUGCAGUCGAGACUGUCGAGCUAGAGUAUGGGAGAGGGAAGUGGAAUUUCAGGUGUAGCGGUGAAAUGCGUAGAUAUCUGAAGGAACAUCAGUGGCGAAAGCGACUUCCUGGACCGAUACUGACGCUCAUGUGCGAAGGCGUGGGGAGCAAACAGG
rnacentral:rRNA from 1 species